AAUCAACGCUGGCGGCGUGCCUCAGACAUGCAAGUCGAACGCGAAAUUUCCCUUCGGGGAGAAAGUAGAGUGGCGCACGGGUGAGUAACACGUAGGUAAUUUGCCUUUGGGUGGGGAAUAACUCAGGGAAACUUGAGCUAAUACCGCAUAAUGCAGCGGCUCGACAUCGAGACAGUUGUUAAAGCGGGGGAUUGGAGCAAUCCGACCUCGCGCCUAAAGAGAAGCCUGCGGCAGAUUAGCUAGUUGGUAAGGUAAUGGCUUACCAAGGCGACGAUCUGUAACCGGCCUGAGAGGGCGGUCGGUCACACUGACACUGACAUACGGGUCAGACUCCUACGGGAGGCAGCAGUCGGGAAUUUUGGGCAAUGGGCGCAAGCCUGACCCAGCAACGCCGCGUGAAGGAUGAAAUUUUUCGGUAAUGUAAACUUCGCAAGAACAGGAAGAAUAAGUGUGGGACAA
rnacentral:rRNA from 1 species